rnacentral:rRNA from 1 species
CACGGGGGGAGCAAGCGUUGUUCGGAUUCAUUGGGCGUAAAGGGCUCGUAGGUGGCUUUGUAAGUCGGAGGUGAAAUCCCACGGCUCAACCGUGGACACGCCUUCGAAACUGUGAAGCUUGAGGCUGGGAGAGGAGAUCGGAAUUCCUGGUGUAGCGGUGAAAUGCGUAGAUAUCAGGAGGAACACCAAUGGCGAAGGCAGCUCGCUGGGACGGUACUGACGCUGAGACGCGAAAGCGUGGGGAGCGAACAGG